rnacentral:rRNA from 1 species
UACAGAGACCUCAAACGUCGUCCGGAUUUACUGGGCGUAAAGGGUUCGUAGGCGGUUCGUUAAGUCUGAUGUUAAAGAUCGGGGCCUAACCCUGGGAGUGCAUUGGAUACUGGCGGACUGGAGUGCAGUAGAGGCGAGUGGAAUUCCCAGUGUAGCGGUGAAAUGCGUAGAUAUUGGGAAGAACACCGGUGGCGUAAGCGACUCGCUGGGCUGUAACUGACGCUGAGGAACGAAAGCUAGGGGAGCAAACAGG